GGGUAAAAUAGCCUAGAGAGGCGGUGGCUUGUAGUCCCAACGACAGAGGUUCAAAUCCUCUUUUUAUCA
rnacentral:tRNA from 1 species